GGCGAGUUUACGAAUUAAAGAAAUAUUCGACAUUAAAUCUCAUCGAUAAACAACAAGUGAUUAAAUCUUCGUUUAAUACCUUACAACACAGUACGAUUAUUGCGCAAACCGGAAGCUAGUCAGAAUAGAGGAGGGAACUCCUAUGGACGAAUAUUUACGUCGCUACGCUCUUGUGUGUUUUGGAUGAUUACUGAAAUCUAUUUUGGUUCAAAACAAGAGCAGAAAUAGGUAUUUUACUGAAGAAAUAUAGAUUGAAGUAAAGAACAGGAAAAAUACCCACCAAUACUUGAUCACAAGACCUGAAGUUGUAAAGGAAUUAAAUUUUUUUUCUUUGAACCAAAGAAGAAAGUGCUGCAACAUAUUCCAGAAAAAUCAUCUUCAAAUUCCAAGAACGCAUUCACUUUUAUCUAAAGAAUUAAAAACAAAAAUAAAAAGGGAGAGAAAUAAAAACACACACACACACACAAAAAAAAAAAGAAAGUGAUAGAUAUUGUAAUCAAAAAUUAAAAAAAAGAAA